rnacentral:lncRNA from 1 species
CAGAUGCACGCGCACGGACGGCCCAAAUUUAAUCCAAAUUAAAUCGCGAUCAAACGGCCCAGAUUAAAUCAAGAUGGACGGCUGUGAUUAAAAGGCAAAUGGUAUAAAUAAACCCCCCACACCUGACGACAAAAACCCUAGCUGCCAGCCCUCACCGGAGAAGACGAACCAGACGCCGGAGGAGCCGGCCGCCGCCACCCGCCGCCGCACCGGGGAGUUUUUCGACCGCCGAUCGAGGUAAAUUUCAUACCCCCGGCUCGUUUUUCAAUGCUGAGUUCUCCUGUGGCCAAAUUGGAGCCAAACUCCCGGCUAAACAGCUGGAAAACACGGCCGAAACCCAGCGGCGCCGCUGCGCCCCUCCUUGAUUUUUGCCUCUGAUGAGGCCCUUCCCGGCCUCCGUUUGAUACAAUUUUUAUAUCACCGUGAUCACUAUUCUUU